CACCUGCAAGUUAGCUGUGCAGGGCUGUUUUGUCACAUCUUCCUGUCACUGGAUGCAAGACUUCAGUGACUUUGCUGUGCUCAUGUAGACACGUGACAGGGCAGUCCUCAUCCUAGACAAAGAUAAGUUGAAGGAUAGGGAGUAGUCCAGCAUAUGUGUGCACAUAUGAAGACAUUGCAAGAGAGGCAUGUGAAAGGAACAGAAGCCUCACUGAGGUAACAGAAGAGCAAACGGCACUGUUAAAUGUUGCUAGUGAGUGAUUUCAUGUCUUGUCAUAGGCUCAUUGAUUCAGAAAUAAAGAAGUCAGCAGAGAACACUGUGACUAUUUAGUCUGAGGUCUGCUGUAGCCAAGGACAGCUUUCAUACAAUUUUGGUUUGAACCAGCGUGUAUCUCUGAGAAAAAAACUUCUUAAGUUGUUUAAGUUCUUAACUUCUUAAGUUAAUUUAAGUUUGAGGAAAGCAGGAUCUCCAUAAGCUGUUCCAGUGGUGAAUUGCUCUGAUUGUUUUUCUUCCAUCAUUAAUGCAAAUGUUAAAAAUGUAGCGGUAAGAAUACAUCAUUGCAAAAAUUAUGUUUUCUCAUGGAUUUUUUUUUUAGAUCCAACAUUUAGGUUGUUUUUAAUCCAUUUAAGCCGUGCUUUGUUGUGUUUUCUUUACCAGAACAACCUCUACAGAAGCUGCUUCACACUAGUGUUUCACAUUAGUUCUCUCUACAGUUUUCUGUAGGCAUCCACCAAAAGAUUAAAUGCAGUGUAUAGUUUUGCAGCUUUGUCCCUUUUCAGCUUGACUUUGACUUGUGAAACUGCAUCCUGUGACUGCUUGGGCCUAUGCUCAGUCCCUGAUUCCCAGCACUACAGGGUACCUUCACAUACUGUGGAACAGCACAGAGUUGAAUUCUUGGAUUUAGAUUUGGAAUCCAUAUAAGUAAAGCAGGGAAGUGUUACUGUUUGGGAUGGUGUUCAGGAGAAGGGAGUAUAGACAGCAGAAUUAUCCUAAAGAUUCUGUAGCAUAUGUUUUAUUGAAGAUGAGCCAUCUCUCUCUCUGCUGUAUUCAGAUAGGAGUUAAAAUAUAAGACAAAUUCAGGACUGAAGCCUAAUGGAUGUUGCUCUUAGUUUAUAAAGGACAUUACUUAGAUUCCUAAUCUCUUAAUUAGAUGCAGCCUGUCUUACUUGAAUCUUCCCUCAAUGCAUGGGCCACCAGGUCUGACUGAUAGGGAAUCCAAGCUGAAAAAAAUAAAGAAAGGGUGCAGAUUUAGAUUCUGUAUAUUCUUAAGAGAGGAUCCUGUUUUCCAUGGUUGCCUUCACCUUGCCCACAGAAGUUCCCUCUGCAGCCUUGCUAAAGACUGCUGCCCUGACAGAUCUAACAGCACAGCUGAUUGUGAGAUUUUCCUUAAGCAGUCCUGCUGAAGGAGACCUGGUUAGCAAAGUUUGCUAUUUAAGCUAACACCAACUGUUUUGACGAAACAGGUUAGCAAGGAAGAAUUGGCAUUAAGUGUUACUGAUCCUAAAGUGCAGAAUCAGUAGCUCUGAGGAGGCCAUCCCUUCCAGUGAGGUCACAAGUAGUGCGGAGCAAGCAGGGAGUUGUAAUGCUGCUGGAACAGAAGAGAUGUAACUUGAAAAAGACAAAUAAUGUGGAGAGUAACUUUCAUACUUAGCUGUCUUUGUGUUUCAAUUUCUGUUUCAGAUAUCUUAGCUCCUCUGGUGUUUCAAAAUCUUCCUGAAAAAAGCAUCAGGACCCUUAUGGCCUGCAAAUUUUUGCGUGUCCUUUGAAGUCAGUGAUACUCAGUAAAAAUUACAUCAGUAUUUCUAUUCUAGAGAUAAGAUUAUUGGGUUGUGACUUUAGUCUAAAAUGGGUGUGGUACUGAGGAUGACUUUCUUCUGUAAGAGCCACCCUGGUGAAUCAACUUGUUUAUACUGAAUUGUGUUUUGAAAUACAUAUUCUUUUUUAAAAAAUAUAUUUAAUUCUAAUAUAAAUUUUUACUAAAUACAGAGGAAAAAAAAUCCCCAUGCAGAGCUUCAGCCUGGAGCAAAUUCUGCAAGUAAAAUUUUAGGUGCUUUGGAAGUACAUUUAAAAUGGAAAUGCUGCUGUAUUUGAGUAAAAAAAGAAGAUGCUACUAAAAUAUUGAGAAGAAUAUUUUUACUUCUCUUGUUGUCCUAUUGAUGUUGAAUAUAAAAGGGAUGCUUUGAAUAUUGCUGCAGCUGUGUUGCAUUUAAGCAGAAUUUUGCAUUAAGAACAGGAUUUUUGAUCUAAGAAGUCCUGGAGUGCUGUUUUAUUUAUCUGUAGAAUGAAGUUCAGUUUCCUUGCUUUUUUAUCCCUUCUUUUAUUAGAAAGAAACAAUGAUGCUCAGCACUUCUUUGGGGCUUUUCAUUUCAAAAGGCUUUGCUUGCAUAACGUAAUGAAACUUCAGAAAACGUGAAGCAGUACAGCAAACAAUCUAUUUUGCUGAUGUUGAGUCAGAGUAAAUUCAGAGUUACUUCACUUCAGGUCCUCUACAUUUGUGUUGAUUAGAACAGAAUCUGGGUUGGAGUUAGCAAUUUUGUUUCUACAUUGAAAGAUCUGGCUUGGUUUGCUUCCUGAGUUCCAUGAGGUGUUUGAAUAUCUCUGGGAACUUCAUUUAGGCAUCAAAAUGUUUCAAUAUUUUCCAGUGCGGGUGAGAUCAUAUGCCUUACAGACAGGAUGGAAUUGUUCCCCGUGGUGUAUUUUCCAGGAUUUUGUCCAGUCUGGUGUUAAAUGUCGAUGUAAUUUGGUGGGUUGGUUUUUUUUUUCCUCAUUUCUCUUAGGAAACUCGGCUUACUACGCAUUGCACAUGAAAUUUUUUUCACAGUGUUCAACCUACAUUUGCCUUUCCUUGAUCAUAUCCUUUUACUUCUCCAAUACCCAUUUUUAACUUCUAAGGACUUUUACUUUGGCUUUACAAAGUACAAUAAGUCAGUUUUCAAACUCCUUCGUCAAUUCAGUGGAGUCAGGCAUAGAACUUGAGAGUAACCAGCAUAUUGUUGCCAUGCAGUGAGCAUUAGGAAGGAGAGUGGUGUAAUUAAGAAACACAGAAACUAUCUGUACAACCAAAACUCCAGCCACAGCUGCUUGCCUUGUGGUGGUUAUCACGUUGGCUGGCUUCCUGCUCCAGGAUUUCCUUCGGCUCUCUGGAAUACCUUUCUUGACUUCACUGAUGUUAAGCUUUUUAUGUUGCAUAAGUGUGAGCUCCUAAGUGGCAUUCAGACCAUAUGGAGAUGGCCUUAAGUCACAGAGAACCAAGAAAGGACAUCCUCUCCUUGGUUUUGGGAUGGCUCUGUCACCACAAGACAUCGCAGGUCAGAGGGGCAAUAUUGUGUUUGACAGAUCCCUUCUAGUAGCUUUCCUCAGUCUUCUCAGGCAUGAAAAAUUGGGCAUGGUCGGUGCACCCUGACAAUGCUGGUGAUAAGACUGAUUCACCAGGCACGAUUAGAUCUCAUUUACAUUGUUUGUUCCUCUGUCAGUCCCCUGAUGUCACAGGUACAUCUGAGAACAGGAACAGACUUUUUUUUUCCCUCCAGACUGGCUUUUCCUUAGAGCCUGACCUGUUGAAAUCAACAGCAGUAUUCCUCCGUGGAACCCAGGGGAAGACAGGAUGUGGAGCUUAGCACUGUUGCUACUCAUUGUGUCUAGAUGGAUUUGGAGGACGUUGCUGCUGUGUAGCAGUGCAGAGACCUUCAUGAAUUGCCAGAUUCUACCUGAUUCCCCAGCAGAGCUAGUGGACUGCUGCUGGAUUGACAACCCAAGGAUGUGAGACAAACCUGCAACCUGGACUGCUUAACAAAUCUAUGUGAGUCUUCUUUUCAAAAAGAGGUCUCCAUAGUGCCUUUGUAGACAAAGUACUUCCAAAUGCACAGUUUUGAGCCUCCUUAAACACGUCAGAUUUUCCUUAAACAUCUCAGGAAAGCUGGAGGUUAUGGACAGCUCCUCACCUUCUUUGCAAGAGAGAUCUUUGUGCUCUGUAGCUCUUUGUGGGUGUCAUGGGUUCAGGUGGCUGGGUUUUUAGUAUUAGGGAGGCCACAGAGGUAGUUUCAGUUAGAAGCUGCUGGAAGUUUCACGGUCCUAUGAAAAAAGCCAAUGACAACCAGCUCCAGGAGGGACUUCUUUGGUGAUGGCCAAUGAUAAGUGCUUUUGUGAUAACGUAUUUAAGAACAGAAGAAGAGAAUGUUUGUUGCGCAGAAGAAAUUCCAGCCCGGAGAAGAGUUGAGGAGGACAUGGGAUAACAGGCAGACUCCAAGGUCAGAGCAGAAGGAGGUGGGGGGAGAGGCCCGGGGAGGCCUCCCUCUCCCCCUCUAGCAGGGGAAGGACUGAGAGCUGAGGCCUCUGCUGCCUGUGGAAGACCAUGGGGGUGCAGAUAUCCCCCUGCAGCUCAUGGAAGAGCACCAUGCUGAAACUGGUGGAAGGAUGGAGCAAAGUCCUGCAGGAAACCUGGGGCCCAUGGAGAGGAAAACCCAUGCUGAAACAAGGUUUUCCAGGUAGGACUUGUCUGGAAUGACCCAUGGGGCAGCAGAUUGAAGAGAACUGUUGCCUGAGGGGUGGAUGGACCCAGGGGGAGAGGUCCAUCAAAGACUGUCUCCCAUGGGGAGGGACCCAACAGAAGCAGGGGAAGGACUCAGAGCCAUGACCCCCCUGUAAUCUGUGGUGAAGACUGUGGUGAUGCAGUUUGUCCCCCUGCAGCCCACAGAAGACCAUCGGGGUACAAAGACCCCCUCCUGCACCUGAUGUAGGAGUAACCCACAGGACAGCAGAUUGGCAAGAACUGCUGUCUGAGGAGUGGACUCAAACGGGUUGCAAACCCUCUUCCCUGUCCCCCUGCACUGCUGGGGAGAGGAGGGAGAACUUGGAAGAAAGCAGGAGGGGGGUGGGGAGGGGAGCUGUUUGUUU